GCGGAAACGAGUUGUCUUGAACCUUCGGGGAACGAUAAGGCGUCGAGCGGCGGACGCGUGAGUAAUGCCUGGGAAAUUGCCCUGAUGUGGGCGAUAACCAUUGGAAACGAUGGCUAUUACCGCAUAAUAGCUUCGGCUCAAAGAGGGGGACCUUCGGGCCUCUCGCGUCAGGAUAUGCCCAGGUGGGAUUAGCUAGUUGGUGAGGUAAUGGCUCACCAAGGCGACGAUCCCUAGCUGGUCUGAGAGGAUGAUCAGCCACACUGGAACUGAGACACGGUCCAGACUCCUACGGGAGGCAGCAGUGGGGAAUAUUGCACAAUGGGCGCAAGCCUGAUGCAGCCAUGCCGCGUGUAUGAAGAAGGCCUUCGGGUUGUAAAGUACUUUCAGCAGUGAGGAAGGGGGCUGUGUUAAUAGCGCAUUCCUUUGACGUUAGCUGCAGAAGAAGCACCGGCUAACUCCGUGCCAGCAGCCGCGGUAAUACGGAGGGUGCGAGCGUUAAUCGGAAUUACUGGGCGUAAAGCGCAUGCAGGUGGUUUGUUAAGUCAGAUGUGAAAGCCCGGGGCUCAACCUCGGAAUAGCAUUUGAAACUGGCAGACUAGAGUACUGUAGAGGGGGGUAGAAUUUCAGGUGUAGCGGUGAAAUGCGUAGAGAUCUGAAGGAAUACCCGGUGGCGAAGGCGCCCCCUGGACAGAUACUGACACUCAGAUGCGAAAGCGUGGGGAGCAUACAGGAUUAGAUACCCUGGUAGUCCACGCGGUAAACGAUGUCUACUUGGAGGUUGUGGCCUUGAGCGGUGGCUUUCCGAGCUAACGCGUUAAGUAGACC
rnacentral:rRNA from 1 species